UACGUAGGUGGCAAGCGUUGUCCGGAAUUAUUUGGCGUAAAGCGCGCGCAGGCGGCCUCUUAAGUCUGAUGUGAAAAGCCCCCCGGCUCAACCGGGGAGGGCCAUUGGAAACUGGGAGGCUUGAGUAUAGGAGAGAAGAGUGGAAUUCCACGUGUAGCGGUGAAAUGCGUAGAGAUGUGGAGGAACACCAGUGGCGAAGGCGACUUUUUGGCCUAUAACUGACGCUGAGGCGCGAAAGCGUGGGGAGCAAACAGG
rnacentral:rRNA from 1 species